rnacentral:rRNA from 1 species
AUUGAACGCUGGCGGCAGGCCUAACACAUGCAAGUCGAACGAGUGGCGGACGGGUGAGUAAUGUCUGGGAAACUGCCAGAUGGAGGGGGAUAACUACUGGAAACGGUAGAUAAUACCGCAUACCAUCAGAAGUGCCCAGAGGGGAUUAUCUGGGUGGUGGGGUAACGGCUCACCAAGGCGACGAUCCCUAGCUGGUCUUAGAGGAUGACCCGCCACACUGAAGCUGAGACACGGUCCAUACUCCUACGGGAGGCGGUAGUGGGGAAUAUUGCACAAUGGGCGCAUGCCUGAUACAGCCAUGCCGCGUGUAUGAAGGAGGCCUUCGGGUUGUAAAGUACUUUCAGCGGGGAGGCGUUACCCGCAGAAGAAGCACCGGCUAACUCCGUGCCAUCAGCCGCGGUAAUAC